rnacentral:rRNA from 1 species
AGUCGAGCGCACCUUCGGGUGAGCGGCGGACGGGUUAGUAACGCGUGGGAACAUACCCUUUGGUACGGAAUAGCCUCUGGAAACGGAGAGUAAUACCGUAUGAGCCCUUCGGGGGAAAGAUUUAUCGCCAAAGGAUUGGCCCGCGUUAGAUUAGGUAGUUGGUGGGGUAAUGGCCUACCAAGCCUACGAUCUAUAGCUGGUUUUAGAGGAUGAUCAGCAACACUGGGACUGAGACACGGCCCAGACUCCUACGGGAGGCAGCAGUGGGGAAUCUUGGACAAUGGGGGCAACCCUGAUCCAGCCAUGCCGCGUGAGUGAUGAAGGCCUUAGGGUCGUAAAGCUCUUUCGCCUGUGAAGAUAAUGACGGUAGCAGGUAAAGAAACCCCGGCUAACUCCGUGCCAGCAGCCGCGGUAAUACGGAGGGGGUUAGCGUUGUUCGGAAUUACUGGGCGUAAAGCGCACGUAGGCGGACUGGAAAGUUGGGGGUGAAAUCCCAGGGCUCAACCCUGGAACUGCCUCCAAAACUAUCAGUCUAGAGUUCGAGAGAGGUGAGUGGAAUUCCGAGUGUAGAGGUGAAAUUCGUAGAUAUUCGGAGGAACACCAGUGGCGAAGGCGGCUCACUGGCUCGAUACUGACGCUGAGGUGCGAAAGUGUGGGGAGCAAACAGGAUUAGAUACCCUGGUAGUCCACACCGUAAAC